rnacentral:lncRNA from 1 species
GUUAAGUCUCCUGUUAAGGGUACUUAACAGAAGACUUCUUCUGUUAGACUUAAUUUUUGUUUCACCAACAAAAAUUUCACUAACUCUCCUGUUAAAUUUGAGAAAUAUUUAACUCCCGAAAUUUGGCAUGUUAAGUCUUAACAGAGCAAUUUUUAUGUAAACAUAACCUCAUUUUUGUUAAUGAAAAUAUAUUUUUUCCUGAUUUUUGAAUUUCGUGAGAAAUGUUUUUUGUAUUUUUUUGAAUUAUUGGACAUUUAUCUUUUCCUUUUCCCAAGCAAACGGGGUUGACAUUUGUCUUCAGCCUCAUUAAAUUAGCCUAGGCUGAUCUCUUUGGAAGGUUAGAGGUAGGCAUAGGUGACAUAAUGUACAUAAUGAUAACAUACCUACUACAUAAUCGCCAGCUAAAGAUCAAUGGAUGAUAGUAAAAAAAAAAAAAAAAAAAAAAAAAUUCAAUAUAAGGUUUGCUGUAAAACAAAGAAACGUUCAAAUUUAUAUGCUCAUCAAAUUAUCAAUUAUUUCGUCACAUAUAUAAUCACAAUUCACAUUUGAAAAUUGAAAAUUCAUCGAGUUAAAUCCAAUUUUGAAUUUUACAGCUCAUUUUUAUUGGCCACAGAGGUAUUUUGUUGUACUAUUCUAGCUAAAAACAUAAAAAUCGGCUGUUAGCUUAAUAAACAGAAGUUUUUGUUGGUGAAACGCAAAAUUUUCUUAACAGACAUGUUAGUGCUAACACUCUGUUAGCUAACAAGAGAGUUAUCUUUUCUUUGUGAAACUGACGAUAAGUAUGUUCAAG